rnacentral:rRNA from 1 species
UACAGAGGGGGCAAGCGUUGUUCGGAAUUACUGGGCGUAAAGGGCGCGUAGGCGGCACCGCAAGUCGACUGUGAAAUCUCCGGGCUUAACCCGGAAAGGUCAGCCGAUACUGCGGGGCUAGAGUGCAGAAGGGGCAACUGGAAUUCUCGGUGUAGCGGUGAAAUGCGUAGAUAUCGAGAGGAACACCUGCGGCGAAGGCGGGUUGCUGGGCUGACACUGACGCUGAUGCGCGAAAGCUAGGGGAGCGAACGGG